ensembl:lncRNA
GCGCCCACACCCUUCAUCGCCUAAUAACCUUACCAAAGUAACUUAAGGAGGACAACAUUCAUUUGUCUUACUAGUGCCCGAAAGGCUGGUUUGAGUAUUUCAGAACCUGCUGAUCUCCUGAGAUUUUCAUGUAAUACAUAAAAGCGAACAAAUAAACACAUCUAAGUGAGUUCUGUGGGAGAAGACAGCUUCUCGAGGAGAGCUAAGAGGACGAUGGCCAGACUGGUUUGAUCUGACAAGAACGCUGUGUUUACUCAAAUCGCCACUCUUUACAACCAGGAAAAGCAUCUCAGAAUGUACAACGCGCCGGACCCUGAGGAGGCUAGAACGGCAGAAGACCACACUGGGAUCCACUCCUGGCUGCAGGAAUCUGAGGCUACAGUCAGCACUUGCUCGCUAAAACCGGACACUCGGUUGGACAUUCGAUAAGAUUCAACAAGCUGUCGCUUCUACUUUUAAUCUUUAACCGCCCAGUUUCUUUACCUGAAGCCAUGGGGUUGGCUAAUUGGUCAACUGCACAGAUGAGCAGGUGUACAAGUGUUCCUAAUAAAGUGGCAGAGGACUGUAUGAAAUGUUAACGAGACUGUUUCCUGUUGUGUACAACAAUGCGAAUGUGUUAGAUUAUGCACACUGGAAAUGCACCUGCACAGACAGUAUUUCAAAUUUUCAUGAAGCAGUGGUAGCUCAAUGGUUCAGGUUCAGUGGUAAAGAUUGGGAUUAAGGUUGGGGUUAAGGUUGGGGUUAAGAUUAAGGUUCAGUAUUUAAGCUUAAGGUUGGGGUUAAGAUUAAGGGUUAGCAGUUUUUUAAUAAGAUUAUCGGGAUCAAUGUUCGAUUCAUUGUGCAGCCCUAAUGAGUGAUGACAUAAAUUCAUCCAUAAUGUAAUUGUAUAUGCGACGAUAAAGGCUUUCUAAUGUCCAAAUCAGCAUGAAAAUGCUUCGAUAGUCAACUGUUAAAAAUUAUGAACUGUAUUCUAUCACAUGGAUUAACACUGUUAUUAUUGAGGACUUUUUUUUUUUUUAUCUCAAUAAUACAGUCUGUGCUGCAACACUUACAUUUUUCCCGUCCUUUAGUGUCAGUACUUCACAGAUUGGCCACUAGAGGGAGGCAGAGCAUCAGACAUCAUCUUGAGCUUGGAUAGGGAGGAGACACCACGGUAGGACAUGGCUCAUUACUAAAUCUAACCCAAGCACAGAAAAGAGCUGGCAGGAAGAAGCAAGGAAAAAUAAACAAAACUCACAGAGCAUGAAAUCGCUACGGUAUUUACAGCCUUUAGCGGGUGGGCAUUUAGACCGGUGUCCUGCAGGACCAAGCCAACAAAUCAAACCCUCCACAGGAUAUGUAAACUUCAGGCUUCAUUACCAACACAUCGCUUAACCGGCUGUAUAACACCCAGGUCUCUACAUGUCCUGCCUUCAGGAUUUGAUCUGUGCCAAAAAAGAUUAGCCGUUGAUUUUAUUUAAGAGUCUUUAAAGGAAUCCCAACCAUGCCUUGUUUUUCAGGAGAAAAUCGCCUGGAGUUAAAGGACAGACAGGUGUUGACCCUUCACCCCUAAAACUUGACCUUGCACGUAUAGAUGAGAUAAACGGUGCCGAGUGGGUGGGGUCUAAUCCUCGUCACGCCGCCGGGGUCUGACAUACGAGUGAGACGAAUCAAAAAUGUAAAAACCAGUCGGACCGCUCGAGGUGCAUUCAGCCCUGAAGCAUGUUAAGCCCUUCUCGGUCGUUUAUACUCCCUAAAACCUGUGCAUGACUCACACGCACGCGCACACACCCAUGCUCGAAAGAUAUUACGCACUAACAAAGGAGCUUUUAAAAGCGUGUACUAUUAUUAACGCUGUACAAAUAUAUAAAACAAUUACCAUACAGAGGAAGUGGAUUAUCUCAAAUACUAGGUUCAUGAUGGACAGGUAGCAUGUGCUCACGUCCUGUAGUGUGCGUGUGUGUCCGAGUGUGUGUUUCAGAGUGGGGGUAAAAGUGGAAGGGGGUGGAGGGUCGGGGUUUUCUAGGUUCCAUCUGUUUCUUCGGACAUCCCGUUGACACUCUUUCCCUUUCCUGUGAACUGGUGUCUUUAUUCUCUCGACACGUUUCCAGGAAACGCGGCGGUACAGAAUCCCGACGCAGACGGACGGACGGGCGACGUUCUUCAAGCACCGCUUUCCACGCGGCUGAGGGAGGGUGCUUUUAUAUAGGAUCUCCGCUAGACUCGUAGUCGUAUAGUAAGCGAUCUUGAGAGUAGUGGUUGUUGUUCCCGUCAUCCCACCGAGCCCACGAAUUCGGUUUCUAUCCACUUUAUUAGGAACACCUGUACACCUAGACUUUCGUGCAAUUUCCCGAUCGGCAAUUAAUCCAAACAUCAGGAUAGGGGGAAAACAUUUGAUCUCAGUUCGUCUGACCGUGGAAGGCUGGUUUGAGUAUUUCAGAAACUGCUGAUCUGUGAUUUUCACACGACGGUCUCGCGAUCCAGUAAACGGCAGCUCUGUGGGCUGACGAGACAGGCCCGAGAAGAACGGCUAGACGGGUUUCGAAGCUGACCGGAAGUCUAUGAGGACUCAAAGAACCGCUCUUUGUGGUUGAAUCGCUUGGCAGCAGGGCCUCUGAUUUAUACGUCUGUACAGGGAGGAAUGGUAUGCAAAGCUGUAGAAUGCGAUAGCUGCAAUGCUGCGAUGAUUAUUUAUAAAGCGGAAUACGGUAUGUCGCUUUAAAAAUAUCUUGCGGCACGGUGACACGCGGGUAUGUUUCACAGGGACGUGACCGUCUUUGCGGAUAUGAGUGAAUGUUAACAGGUUUCCACGUGGACGUAAACUUCCUGGUGAUGGCACGAGUGCUAUAGCGACACAACGGCAUCACGUCCUCUCUCGCGGACGCCUCAGAGCUAAACGUCACGGCGCAGAGACGCACAGGACGGCUGGGUACGCUGAAGGUGCGGGAAGAAUCCGUCAGGAACAUCAGAAGGGAAAAGCGUCUUUCUGUCUGUCUGUCUGUCUACUGAUCUAUCCAUCUGUCGGUCUAUCCAUCGGUCUAUCCAUCUGUCUAUCUAUCUAUCCGUCUGUCUGUCUGUCUUAUCUAUCCGUCUGUCUGUCUGUGUAUCUAUCAGUUUAUCCAUCUUUCUAUCUAUCCAUCUGUCUAUCUAUCCAUCUGUCUGUCUAUCUAUCC